rnacentral:tRNA from 1 species
GCCUGGGUGGCUAAGGCUUAAGCACCCGACUUCAGCUCAGGUCGUGAUCUCACGGUCUGUGGGUUCGAGCCCCGCGUCAGGCU